rnacentral:tRNA from 1 species
ACAUAGAAGUAAAAAUUACAAUUAGUUUCGACCUAAACAAAGGAAUAUAAUUUCCCAUGUU